GACGAACGCUGGCGGCGUGCUUAACACAUGCAAGUCGAACGGAAAGGCCCUGCUUUUGUGGGGUGCUCGAGUGGCGAACGGGUGAGUAACACGUGAGUAACCUGCCCUUGACUUUGGGAUAACUUCAGGAAACUGGGGCUAAUACCGGAUAGGAGCUCCUGCUGCAUGGUGGGGGUUGGAAAGUUUCGGCGGUUGGGGAUGGACUCGCGGCUUAUCAGCUUGUUGGUGGGGUAGUGGCUUACCAAGGCUUUGACGGGUAGCCGGCCUGAGAGGGGGACCGGCCACAUUGGGACUGAGAGACGGACCAGACUCCUACGGGAGGCAGCAGGGGGGAAUAUUGCACAAUGGGCGGAAGCCUGAUGCAGCAACGCCGCGUGCGUGAUGACGGCCUUCGGGGUGUAAACCGCUUUCGCCUGUGACGAAGCGUGAGUGACGGUAAUGGGUAAAGAAGCACCGGCUAACUACGUG
rnacentral:rRNA from 1 species